UACAAAAGUCCACGUACUGUUAUGAGUCCAUGUACGGGAAAUGUCGAGAACUGACAAAUCCAUAGAAACAGAAAGUAGAUUAGUGGUUGCCAAGGUGCCGGGGGAAGGGGAAAUGGGAAGUGACUAAUGUGCACAGGGUUUCUUUUUGGGGUGAUGAGACUGUUCUGGAAUUAGACAGUGGUGAUGGCUGCACAACUUGGUGAACACACGAAAAGCCACUGAAUUGUACACUUUAAAAGCAUGAAUUUUAUGGCAUGGGAAUUGCAUCUCAAGGAGGGGGAGAGGGAGGAGAUAAAUCUGGGAUCUGAAGAAGCACAAUACUUAAAGACUGUGUGGAAGAGAGUAUCCCCGGGAGGAGGAGACUAGGAGAGAGUGAGCCAAGAGGUAGAAAGAAAGCCAGGGAUAGAGGCUGUCAGUGGAGGCCGAAGGAGUGUUGUUUCAAAAGGAGGAAUGGGAAUCUGUGAAGUUUGCCGAGAGGCAAGGAGGAGGAAGAGUGAAGGCAGUCACUUCAGCAGCCGAGGACAAGACAGGGUGGUGACUGCAUCCUAGGGAUGUAGCGUUGAGGACAGGCCUGUGACUACAAGUGAGGAUGUUGUUCCGCACAGGUCAGAUCCCGCCUUCCCACCAGUGAAAGACGGCAGAGACGCUGGAGGAGGGGAGGAGAAGGGAUUGCACAUCCCCCAUCCUGGUGCCCUGGGGGGAGGGGGGCUGCCGUGGCCCGCAACCUUCCUCCCGGGUCCACCCCUCCCCAGCACCCUCACCUGCUGCUCCUCCACCCCAGGCGAGAACCACUGGUCCAUUUCGGCGCCUGCCUCAGCAAGAGCUGAGAGGCCCAGGGUCACCCGGCGCCGCCGGAGGGCAGCCACACCCAGAAUUCCAGCCCCGCACUUCGCGCCAGCUCCCCACGGCGGCGGCCUGGCGCCAGAGAUCCCGCCUGCCGGCCAGACCCAACUUUUGAGGUUGCUGAUGGGCCCUUGGGCGUAAGAGCAAACGCUUACACCGACCCGGGGGGCGCUGCCGGGAGUGCAGCCGCUGCGCCGGCACCUCCUGGCCUCCCUGUCAAAGGAUCCAGCGCCCCACCCACCCGAGAUCCCCCUCUUGGGUCGGUGACCGCGACGAAACUCGGCCGCUGGCCUGGAUUUGGGACGCUCCGAAGCGGGGUCUGGCUGGUGCCCCGCUGAGGGCUCUGAACAACUCGGCUGUGCUGCCGCUAAGUGGGAUUCCUGAGCGAUGACCUAGUCUUAAGGAGCUUGCUGGGUCCUGGGACCUCUUCCUCUAGGGAGAACUUCAGAUUGUCUAACUGGUGGAAACCCCCUAGGAAUUCUGCUCUCGCCCCUAUUAUCCACCAGUGUUCUGGAGGUUCUAGCCAUUGCACAAAGGCAAGAAAACAUAAGAAAAGGUUUGGAUACUAAAAAGAAUUUAAAUUUUUAUUUAAUUUUUUUUUUUUUUUUUUUUUUUUUAAAUAAACUCUCCGCCCAACGUGGGGUUGAACUCACCAUCUGGAAAUCAAGACUUUCAUGCUCCACCCACUUGGCCAGCCAGUCGCCCCCCCUCAAAAAGAGAGAAUUUUUAUUUGAAAGAUGGUAAGAUAAACUGUCUUGAGGACACGUAAUCAACUGAAAAAAAAAAAACAUAAGAAAGUGGC